rnacentral:rRNA from 1 species
GCUAUUGGAGUUCGAUUAAGCCAUGCGAGUCGAGAGUCUUAGGGACUCGGCGUACCGCUCAGUAACACGUGGGUAACCUGCCCUAUGCUGGGGAAUAACCUCGGGAAACUGAGAAUAAUGCCCCAUAGUCCACAAUGCCUGGAACGGUUUGUGGAUCAAAGCUCCGGCGGCAUAGGAUGGGCCUGCGGCGUAUCAGGUUGUAGGGGGUGUAACGUACCCUCUAGCCAUCAACGCGUACGGGUGUUGGGAGACAUAGCCCGGAGAUGGAUUCUGAGACACGAAUCCAGACCCUACGGGGUGCAGCAGGCGCGAAAACUUGGCAAUGCGAGGAAUCGUGACCAGGGAACUCCAAGUGGCUGGGGUAAGACCCAGUCUUUUCUUGACUCUUCAAAGGUCUUGGAAUAAGGGGUGGGUAAGGACGGUGCCAGCCGCCGCGGUAAUACCGGCGCCUCAAGUGGUAGUCGAUUUUAUUGGGCCUAAAACGUCCGUAGCCUGUUUGGUACAUUCGUGGGUAAAUCAACCAGCUCAACUGGUUGAAUUCUGCGAGCACGGCCAGACUUGGGACCGGGAGAGGUGUGGGGUACGCUCAGGGUAGGGGUAAAAUCCUGUCAUCCUGAGCGGACCACCUGUUGCGAAGGCGCCACACUAGAACGGAUCCGACGGUCAGGGACGAAGCCUAGGGGCACGAACCGGAUUAGAUACCCGGGUAGUCCUAGGUGUAAACGCUGUGGACUUGGUGUUGGGGACUCUCCGAGAAUCCUCAGUGCCGAAGCGAAGGUGAUAAGUCCACUGCCUGGGGAGUACGGUCGCAAGGCUGAAACUUAAAGGAAUUGGCGGGGGAGCACCGC